GUGGCGCAGCUAUCCUGUCGGCUUCCCUUGAGGGCGGCUGUGAUCUUCCAAAUGGGCUCCAGGGUGAGGUCCCAGGCCGGCUGGGCGGCCGAGUAGGGCAGCGGCACCUCGUACUCGCAGGAACUGCCUCUGUCGGAGGGCAGCUGACCUUGUGAGGGGGUCAUUAGCGGCCAUGACUGGGACAAGUGCAGGUGCCGCGGCGACAGCUGCUGAGUCACGCUACCCACGUAGCUCGAUACCAUUGGUGCCUGUCUGCCUUGUGUGCUGGUUCACAGCAGGACCAUGUAUGCUCCUCAGCACAUUGCCCACCCUGCAGGCAUUUGCAGGCACUUGAGGGAAGGUAGACAUAUGGACAUGGCAGCCUAGGCCAGACUUCCAUACUGCUUAGGCAAUGCAGACACCAUUAUAGGCUUCUACGCAGCUUGCUACCCAUUUGUUGCUAUAUGCCACCCAGGGACUUCUGAUUCUCUUCACACUGGCGACUCUGACAAACAUCCCAUUCAAACCAAGGUUGGGACAGAAUACUACAGUCUAUAGGCCGUAAUGCUGCCAUCACAAAGAAAAGCGGGUCGAUUCGAUAGUGCAAAUGAAUCGUGCCAUCUUCGCUGACCCUGACCUGGUGCUUGAGGCUAGACGAGACACAUAAGAUUGCACCCUAUCAAACAAUCUCAUAGCUGAUAGUGUAUGCUUGUCCAGAAUGAGCAUGGAUUUUCACCUCCUAAAAGCAACUAUUGGCGUGUAUGCAUACUUUACCUGAUGGGUUUCGGUUGCAAGUGCGUCUGCCUGGAGAAGUGCUGAUGACAGCAACCUUCCAACGACUCUGGCUAUCGGAGUCCCGUCUCCUCGCCUGAAGCCUAUCCUGCACAAAGACAUACCGAAACAUCAAAUACAAGAACGGAGUCAUGAACGAUGAUGAUUAUGUUAUAGUCCGAAAUUUCGGAUAGUAGGAAUAGCUGGGCUUUCUCGGGCAUGCCAAUGUGAAAGCCCUGCCCAGAACGCAGGAGCUAUAAAGCAAUGGAAAGGGCACCGAACAUAUGUAUUAAUGAUCUACGCUGCGAGGUAUUCGGCACUCCACCAAGCUUGGUUCCGAGUAGGAGCCAACGGCUGUUAGUCUUAAAUCUCGCAAAGCUAGAAGAUCCUUGAUAAGCUGCUUUUCGGCAUAAUUGAAUCGACCCAAACCUCGACGAAUAAUCCCAAGCCCAUUGAGGUCCUGAGUGUCAGUGAUGGAUGGUGCCUGAAUCAACGAAGUUGUCAUAGAGACCUGCCCGUCGAAGAGGGGUACCUCGUCAGAUGGUUGAGGCCGCUGUGACUGUUUUCCUCUAUCCACAGGUUCCGCAACUCUUUCAAGGUUUCCUUAGAUACCGUGCAUGCUCGUCCAUCAACUGACGCCUGCAAGCUGGCGUGGUACCCGACAUCUGCGUUUAAAGGCUGGACUUUGAAGGUUCUGAAUACCGAGGCUGGCGGCCCUUGACGAUGGUUGACCCAAUAUGCCUCACAAGACCAUCCCACACAAAUGCAGACUACCUACGCCCAACGUCUCUGAACAGGUGGAUGGCAGCGACCAAGUACCUUG
rnacentral:lncRNA from 1 species